rnacentral:rRNA from 1 species
GGAGGGUGCAAGCGUUGUUCGGAAUUACUGGGCGUAAAGCGCGUGCAGGCGGCCGAUUAAGUCCGGUGUGAAAGCCCGGGGCUCACCCCCGGAAGUGCGCUGGAAACUGAUCGGCUAGAGUGCGGGAAAGGGAAGCGGAAUUCCUGGUGUAGCGGUGAAAUGCGUAGAUAUCAGGAGGAACACCGGCGGCGAAGGCGGCUUCCUGGACCGACACUGACGCUGAGACGCGAAAGCGUGGGGAGCAAACAGGAUUAGAUACCCUGGUAGUCCACGCUGUAAACGAUGGGUACUAGGUGUCGCGGGUGUUGACCCCUGCGGUGCCGCAGCUAACGCAUUAAGUACCCCGCCUGGGGAUUACGGUCGCAAGAUUA